GACGAACGCUGGCGGCGUGCUUAACACAUGCAAGUCGAACGGAAAGGCCUCUUUCGGGGGGUACUCGAGUGGCGAACGGGUGAGUAACACGUGAGUAGCCUGCCCUUGACUUUGGGAUAACUUCAGGAAACUGGGGCUAAUACCGGAUAGGAGCUCCUGCUGCAUGGUGGGGGUUGGAAAGUUUCGGCGGUUGGGGAUGGACUCGCGGCUUAUCAGCUUGUUGGUGGGGUAGUGGCUUACCAAGGCUUUGACGGGUAGCCGGCCUGAGAGGUGACCGGCCACAUUGGGACUGAGAUACGGCCCAGACUCCUACGGGAGGCAGCAGUGGGGAAUAUUGCACAAUGGGUGGAAGCCUGAUGCAGCAACGCCGUGUGCGGGAUGACGGCCUUCGGGUUGUAAACCGCUUUCGCUCAUGACGAAGCUUUGUGUGACGGUAGUGGGUAAAGAAGCACCGGCUAACUACGUG
rnacentral:rRNA from 1 species